CGCGGGGUGGACGCAGCCCGGUAGCUCGUCAGGCUCAUAACCUGAAGGUCGUCAGUUCAAAUCUGGCCCCCGCAA
rnacentral:tRNA from 1 species